UACGUAGGGGGCAAGCGUUGUCCGGAUUUAUUGGGCGUAAAGAGCGUGUAGGCGGCCUGGAAGGUCAGCUGUGAAAACUCGAGGCUCAACCUCGAGACGUCGGUUGAAACCACCUGGCUAGAGUCCGGAAGAGGAGAGUGGAAUUCCCGGUGUAGCGGUGAAAUGCGCAGAUAUCGGGAAGAACACCCGUGGCGAAGGCGGCUCUCUGGGACGGUACUGACGCUGAGACGCGAAAGCGUGGGGAGCAAACGGG
rnacentral:rRNA from 1 species